AUUGAACGCUGGCGGCAGGCUUAACACAUGCAAGUCGGGCGGUGACAGAGAGAAGCUUGCUUCUCUGCUGACGAGCGGCGGACGGGUGAGUAAUGCCUAGGAAUCUGCCUAGUAGUGGGGGAUAACUUGCCGAAAGGUAAGCUAAUACCGCAUACGUCCUAUGGGAGAAAGGAGGGGACCUUCGGGCCUUUCGCUAUUAGUUGAGCCUAGGUCGGAUUAGUUAGUUGGUGAGGUAAUGGCUCACCAAGACCGCGAUCCGUAACUGGUCUGAGAGGAUGAUCAGUCACACUGGAACUGAGACACGGUCCAGACUCCUACGGGAGGCAGCAGUGGGGAAUAUUGGACAAUGGGGGAACCCUGAUCCAGCCAUGCCGCGUGUGUGAAGAAGGUCUUAGGAUUGUAAAGCACUUUAAGUUGGGAGGAAGAGCAGUUAACUAAUAUUUGACUGUUUUGACGUUACCGACAGAAUAAGCACCGGCUAACUUCGUGCCAGCCGCCGCGGUAA
rnacentral:rRNA from 1 species